GUACCAUUGGUCUAAUGGCUAUGAUAUUUGACUUCCAAUCAAAUGAUAUGGGUUCAAUUCCCAUAUGGUACUUA
rnacentral:tRNA from 1 species